CCUACGGGUGGCAGCAGUGGGGAAUAUUGGGCAAUGGGCGCAAGCCUGACCCAGCAAUGCCACGUGAAGGAAGAAGGCUUUCGGGUUGUAAACUUCUUUGACAGGGGAAGAGCAGAAGACGGUACCCUGAAAACAAGCCACGGCUAACUACGUGCCAGCAGCCGCGGUAAUACGGAGGUGGCAAGCGUUGUCCGGAUUUACUGGGUUUAAAGGGCGUGUAGCCGGGAAGGCAAGUCAGAUGUGAAAUCUCGCGGCUCAACCUCCAAAUUGCAUUUGAAACUGUUUUUCUUGAGUACUGGUGAGGCAGACGGAAUUCCUUGUGUAGCGGUGAAAUGCGUAGAUAUCAGGAGGAACACCAGUGGCGAAGGCGGUCUGCUGAACAGCCACUGACGGUGAGGCGCGAAAGCGUGGGGAGCAAACAGGAUUAGAUACCCUUAUAGUC
rnacentral:rRNA from 1 species